CUUCUUCUUUCUCUUUUUCCUCGCCGUUGCUUCCUCCUCCGCGUGCCCAACUUCACCCGACGGCGUCUUCUCUUUGUCCUAACCGCCCUAACCGGCUUCCCCCUCAUUCCACUUCAUCUCCUUCUCCUUCCCUUCCUGCGACGCCGACGCCACAUCUCUUCCUUCUUCCUCCCCGAGCCCUAAAUUCCCCUUUUUCUCAACCACUUCGCCGAGCGACAGUGUUGAUCGCGGCUAUUGCCGAGCCCCCAUCGCCGCUGUGCCCUCUUGCGCCGCCGCCCCUCUCGGCCGGAGGCCACCUUCAAGCCGCGGCCUGGGUCAUCAAUCAGCCCCUCUUACUGCGCUGUGCCCUAGAUCUUUGCCGUCGGCCACCGCGAGCCCUAGCUGGCCAUCGGCGCCCGUCGUCCCUUUGCCGUGGAGAUCCUCACAGCCACCACCCCUCUCCGAUCUCCUCUGUGCCAGCCACCAGGUUCGACCCAGCGCUGGCUGCCGGCUGAUUUUCUGUGCCCUAGGCGCUGCUGUGAGGUUUGAGCCGACCAACAGAUUCACUGCCGCCACCGUCGGCCAAAUUCCCUCUCCUGUGCAGCUGAUCUAGAGCAACUACUGCCGUGCUUCUACUUUGUGUGUCGCCGGGAGUCGAGAGCUCGAGAAGGCGACAGAGGGCAGCAGUGAUUCGGCAGUGGGAUUUAAGAUUCAUUUCGCUGGUAGUGUAUCGGGGUUCCACAGCAGCUGUGAUUUUUCCGGCCAUAAUUUUCAGCAACAUCCUUGCUGUGAGAAGUGAGGACUUGACGAGACGAGUAUCUCAGAGUCAGAUUUGGAUCAUUUUAUCGGAG